rnacentral:misc_RNA from 1 species
AGAGAGCUUGAAUAUACUAGAACACUUCGAUUUCUCUAUUCCAUUGACCUUUCAGGAAAUAACUUUGUUGGAAACAUUCCAAAAGAGUUGAUGAAUCUUUCAGGUCUACAAAACCUGAAUUUGUCUAGAAACAAAUUAGAUGGGCAUAUCCCUUGGAACAUUGGCAAGUUAAAAUCACUAGAAUCGCUUGACUUGUCUAAAAAUGAUCUUUCUGGCUCUAUUCCACCCAGCAUUUCUGAUUUGAACUUUUUAAGUCAAUUGAAUUUGUCAUUUAAUCACUUAUCUGGACGAAUUCCUUUGGGAAAUCAACUUCAGACUUUAGAUGACAGAUCCAUCUACAUUGGCAACAAUGG